rnacentral:lncRNA from 1 species
AUGCCAGUAACACCAUCAUCACCUCUACUGUUACUACUAUCAGCAUCACCGCCAGAGCUGCUAGUCAUUACUACCAUGAUCUGCGGCACCACGGCUGUCACUAGUACAAGACACCACCACCACUGCUGCCAUAGUAAUCAUCAAGUGGAACCUGGCAUGGUACCAGCAGAAUCCCAGGAUCUAAAAGCUGGAGUGCUAACAAGAACCCAACCCAAGGCAGAUGUCCCUACCUUACUCCUACCACAGGAGCCAGAGCUGUCACACAGGCCCGAAUGUUAACUAUCCUCACAGAAUAUGAACGAUAGGCUUGACUCCCUGUCAGAGAGGAACCCCUGUUGUUAGUCAUGGAACAACCACUUGGUUUAGAGCGACCUCUAAACCAGCAUAAAAUGAGGCUUGACAUCCCUCUGAGGAGUUCGUUCAUGGGGAUCAUAGCAGAUAAGUUCUUAAUUUACUCAACUAUGUGCUUUUUUAAAGUAAUUAAGCUAUUUUAAAGUUAUAUAUUGGGCUGGGAAUAUAGCUCAGCGGCACAGCACCUGCCUGGCAAGCCCAAGGUCCUGAGUUCAAU